CUAUUCUCAUAUCAGUCCCAAUCUCGAUCCCAACCAACACCGCCGCACCUGCAUGUCGCCCUACCCAUUGCCGCUGCACUGCAACCUCCGCCUCCGUCCCUGCGCCACCGCACCAGCGAAAUCCAUGGCGGCCGCAGCUGCCCUGGUCUCCCUCCUGUCUGCCCGUCCUGCAUUCUCCCUCCUAAUCCCCCUCCGGCACUACCUCUGCCACACCCCCAAACCCUAGAUCUGGUCGGUCGGGAGACCAAGAUGGCAGCGGCGGCACCGGCGCCAUUCCCCUCGCGCUUCAAGCCGGCCAGCAAGGAGAUAAAGACGGCGGCGGGCAAGAGGUUCUCUAACCCAAAGCUGUGGUGGCGCCUCCUCCUACUGUCCCCAUCCAGUCGAGCUCCGGGGCGACGAUACCUCCUCACAGCGGCCCCCAUCCCGUCGAGCUCCGGCGCGACGAUACCUCCUCACGGCGGCCCCCAUCCCGUCGAUCUCCAGCACGACGGCGCCUCCAUCAGGUAUGUGCAGUCAAUUGGAAUUAUAGGCAGCUCUGAUUGUUGCUUUUUCACAUUGAUUAAUGAUUAGUGCUUGUGUUGCACUCCCAUCCAUGCCCAAGAAGAGCCACGUGAGUAUCUAAUUUCUUAUGCCAUAUUCUGAUUUGGGAGCAGGGACAUGCAUGCAUAGGUAGUUAUCUUGGUAGAUAAGAGUCAUGUGUAAAUGUGUGAAUUAAUGUGUGAUGCACAGUUCAGUUUGUUUGAAUGCUUACCAGUUAUCAGUAAUCUCAUAAAUUCAGUUUGUAUGAGUAUAUAUAAUGGAAGUUAAUUGCCUCAGAGGUUCAAUGAAUCAGUUACUACGAAUCAGUCUGCCAGGAAAAUAAUAGAACUGCCGGGAAAACUAGCACUAGCAGGGCAGGUAGACCGCCGGGGAAAAUAAAACUGCAGGCAAAGACAUUUGCCGGCGGCAGUAUAGAGGGCAGGCAAAACUGCCGGCAGUUUAUUUGCCCUACAUCACUUUUGGCGGCAGUUAGGGUGCCCUCAUGCUUGGUCCAUCAUGUAGUGCUGGCUCGAUAAUUUUUCAUCUCACUGUUUUCCCUAAAAAAAGGUGUUAUUAGUGCUAAUAGACGCAUUACAUCCCGGCAUGGUCACUAAUUAAGACUAAGUUGGAAUUUUCAGAACUUCAGAAAAUAUGCCUCAUGCACACAUAGGCCUGCCUAUAUUGGGCUAACAUUCUAAAAUAUACAUAAGUCGACACAAGUUGCAUAAAUCAAGGUUUUUAUAACAAGCUGAUUUACUCCUAAAUGCCGUUCUAAAUAUUAAUUAAAACAAGGGGCCGGGAUGGUGUUAGGGGUUUAAGAUAUAAUGUUAUAUAGUCAAUCUUCUAUUUCAGAAUAAAUGCAUGAUAUACGGUAUGUUUAUUAGGAUGGGAAACAAUUUGUGCGCCAUAAAGCAGAGGACUUAGAAAUAUGUUGGCUAACUAAAAGAAUAUUAAUUACAAACCCUGUAACAAACAUAUGACGAUGUCUACGUGAACUGGUAGCGAUCUGUGUAUCAAUCAAUCCCUAAACGCCGCAAACAAAUUUUUCUGUGGUAUUUUUCUCGGAACAUAUAAACAAGUCGUAAAAACAAUUCAGCGCGUUUAUAUAACCCUGCUAGGCGUUUAUACUGUACUCCUCCAAGUUCUAGAUAAUCUGUAGCCGGCAGGCCUAAAAUGUUCCAACUUUCGUGCAGACAAUGUGCCAGUUAAAUAUUGCUGUUUAUUUUUGCCUUUGUGAGCCUUUUGCCCUUGCUUUAUGAUUGAAGUAGACAGGACCGUACCUCACACAAAAGAACCGAAGAACGUCCUCUCAAAUUCUCAAUGAUUGGCUCUUUUCCCGCACUUUCUUGUAUUUUGUUUAGACGCUCUAGGCCAAAGUGUCUUAACCUUAGAUACCCAAAUCUUACAUCGGAUUAUAAGUGUUUACAAAAAAGAAGAAAGGAGGAGGAUUAUAGGUUGAUCUGGUCAGGUGUACCUUGAACGCCUACGACCUACAGCGUCCAGUAUCUUUACUAUAAUUUGCAUUGCAGCACACGCGCGAUGUUCUAGACCACAAAAAACUGACAACGCCAACCGAAAGAAGGAAUCAACAGACUGCUCCCGUGCAGAUCGACACGUCAUGCACGUUACUAAAGGCCUAGUAUUAACGCUAUGAACGAAAAUUAUUCCUAUAUACUGUACGAUCAAAGCAGGGUACAUGCAUGUAGUUUUCUGUCCACGUCUCUUUCAUGUUAUCUCUAUGCAUGUGACAAAAUUCUGUAAAACAAGCUGACGAAACGUAUCUACCUCCUGUGGAGGCCGCGUGUAUUUUUAGGAGAAAUAACAAGAUUACAAGAGUUUGAAUACACCAAGAUCAAUCUAUCUCUACACGGUUUAAACCAAAUCGGCAACAUCUACAACUACCUAUAUAAUCCAUCUAUUCGGUAGGUAUAAGUACUGUUUUAACAAUCCUCAAUCAAAACCUCUAUCAAGGUUGAGAUUCUGUCUAAAAGCCAUUAACUGCCGCAUUGACAGGGGUUUGGUAAAUCCAUCAGCCACUUGAUCACCCGUGUGUACAAACCGGAUGUUUAGAAGCUUUUGUGCUACACUUUCAUGAACAAAGUGGUAAUCCACAUCCAUGUGCUUUGUCCUAGCAUGAAAAACAGGAUUAAUAGAUAAAUAUGUAGCACUAAGAUUAUCGCACCAAAAGAAUGCCAGUCGAAGCAUUUUUAUCCUGAGUUCCUUCAACAAAGUCCGAAGCUAAGGACUUAUAUUCUGCCUCACUACUUGAGCCAAAAAAUGUGGCCUGCUUUCCGGUACUCUAGGCUAUAAGAUUGGAGCCGAAGAGCACUACACAACCACCGGUAAAACGUACCCCUAUGUCCAACAAAAGAUAUCUAAAGUUUGUCAAAAUUUGAAUGUAUAUAGACAUGACUUAGGGCAUAGAUGCAUUCAAAUUUAGCCAAAAUUGAGACAUCCUUUGUUGGACGAAGGGAGUAUGUCAUUUGAUAAUAUUGGCUGCUGGACCAAAGGAGGUGCUACGGUGGCUAUAUAUUGCUUAAUCUAGUACUUUCUCCGGCAAUAUCCUGCGACUAUCCUCCUUCUUGAAUGCUUUGCGCAGAAGUUAUCUUUCUUUUCAUUUGUUCUGGUUCGGCUUAGCUUUUGAUAAUAUAUGAUUGUAUAGAUGAGUCGAUGCAGAGAUUUGGCAGUGUGUUGCUUCUCUUUCCAUUAUUUAAGCAGAUGUCAUGAAUGCGAUGCAAUUUGUUUCCGGUGAUUCACAAAAGAACUGGCUGGACGGUUUGGCUCCCAAUGUCAUCGCACCUACCAUUUUUGCCAUCACUACGAGGAAGAACCGUUCUGUGCACGAUGAUAUUACCGAGGGGGCUUGGGUCUGUGCUUUAAGAGGCAAGAUCUCCAAUGCGGUUCAACUCGAUGAGUUUGUCUCCCUUUGGUUGAGACUUCAAGCUCGGCGUAUAAGGCUCAAUUCCUCGGCUCCAUCCAUGCCCAACACGCAAACACUGUCUGGAAAACCAAUGCCGAAAACAAGUGCAAAUUCUUCGCCUGGCUUCUUGUGCAGAACAAGAUCCUCACCGCCGACAAUCUCGCCGUCAGGGGCUGGCCGCACACUCCUGGAUGUUCCCUUUGCACUGAUCCUCAUGAGACCGGGACACACCUUUUCCUUCGAUGCCCCUUUGCCCGUCAGGUGUGGGAUAAAGUCCUCGACCACUACAACUUCAACAUCCUUCAGCGGGUCAAGCCUUCUAACUACAGGGACACUUGUGCCUGGUGGAUUCAAGCCUCCAAGACGAUUGACAAAGAAAGAAGACAAUAUUUCAAUGGGGUGAUCAUUUACAUUAUGUGGAACAUUUGGAAGGAGCGCAACCGCCAUAUCUUUCAGACCGUGGCAGCUCCUGCUUUUGUUGUCACGUCGCUUGCCCGUGACGCAAUUGAUACUCAUAGGCUUGCUUUCCAUUGUGUGACCGUGCCGUGAAGUUUUUUGUGGUUCUUCGGUUUUUUCUGUCCGUCCUACCGGCCAGCUGCGUUUGGUCUGUUGGGAUAGUCCUUUUCUGUCUCGUCUUUGAUUUUUCUUCUUCUUUCGACCUCGGUCGCAUGUACAUAUAUUUGGUUUUCCCCUUCUAAUAUUGCAUGGCAGAUCUCCUGCCCUUCACGGCAAAAAAGAUUCACGAAAGAAAGUAUAGUAGGUCCU